AUGCGUGGGGGCUGGGCUAGGGUUAGAGGCGCGGCUGGGCCUGAGAGGUUGGUUGGGUCGGCCCAAGUGGAGAAAGAAGUGGCCAGAGGCCUGGCUGGGCUCUCUCUCCCCCUCAUAUUCUUUAGCAGAAAAGAAUUAGAGAGAAGAAAAGAAGAGAGGGUUAGGGAAAGAAUUUGCGCAUGCGGACAGUUUUCCCAGACUCAUAAAAAUGAGCUUGAUCCAAAAAAAAUAGAAGUGGGCAUGACCGAAAGUUUAAAUUCAAACUCAUUUGAUUUAAAUUCAAAUGGUUUGAAUAGGAAGUGA
rnacentral:rRNA from 1 species